rnacentral:tRNA from 2 species
GCCAAUGUAGCUCAGGGGUAGAGCACUUCCUUGGUAAGGAAGAGGUCAUGGGUUCAAUUCCCAUCAUUGGCU